AUUGAACGCUGGCGGCGUGCUUAACACAUGCAAGUCGAGCGGUAACAGGCGUAGCAAUACGUGCUGACGAGCGGCGAACGGGUGCGUAAUACAUGGGAAUCUGCCGUAGUAGUGGGGAAUAACCCGGCGAAAGCCGGGCUAAUGCCGCAUACGAUCCACGGAUGAAAGCGGGGGACCUUCGGGCCUCGCGCUAUUGGAUGAGCCCAUGUCGGAUUAGCUAGNGGUGAGGUAACGGCUCACCAAGGCGACGAUCCGUAGCUGGUCUGAGAGGACGGCCAGCCACACUGGGACUGAGACACGGCCCAGACUCCUACGGGAGGCAGCAGUGGGGAAUCUUGCGCAAUGGGCGAAAGCCUGACGCAGCGACGCCGCGUGAGGGAUGACGGCC
rnacentral:rRNA from 1 species